rnacentral:rRNA from 1 species
CCUGGGGCUGUAGUCGGUCCCGAGGGUUGGGGUUGUCGCCCAUUAAAGCGGGAAGCGAGGUGGGUUCAGAACGUCGUGAGACAGUUCGGUCCCUAUCCGUCGGGGGCGGUGGGAAUUUGAGAGGRGCUGUCCUUAGUACGAGAGGACCGGGAUGGACUUACCGCUGGUGUACCAGUUGUUCUGCCAAGGGCAUUGCUGGGUAGCUAUGUAGGGAAGGGAUAAACGCUGAAAGCAUCUAAGUGUGAAGCCCACCUCAAGAUGAGAUUUCCCAUUUCUUUAAGAAAGUAAGAUCCCUGAGAGAUGAUCAGGUAGAUAGGUCAGGAGUGGAAGUACAGUGAUGUAUGGAGCGGACUGAUACUAAUCGAUCGAGGACUUAACCAAU